CUACGGGGCGCAGCAGUGGGGAAUAUUGCACAAUGGGCGCAAGCCUGAUGCAGCCAUGCCGCGUGUAUGAAGAAGGCCUUCGGGUUGUAAAGUACUUUCAGCGGGGAGGAAGGGAGUAAAGUUAAUACCUUUGCUCAUUGACGUUACCCGCAGAAGAAGCACCGGCUAACUCCGUGCCAGCAGCCGCGGUAAUACGGAGGGUGCAAGCGUUAAUCGGAAUUACUGGGCGUAAAGCGCACGCAGGCGGGUUGUUACGUCAGAUGUGAAAUCCCCGGGCUCAACCUGGGAACUGCAUCUGAUACUGGCAAGCUUGAGUCUCGUAGAGGGGGGUAGAAUUCCAGGUGUAGCGGUGAAAUGCGUAGAGAUCUGGAGGAAUACCGGUGGCGAAGGCGGCCCCCUGGACGAAGACUGACGCUCAGGUGCGAAAGCGUGGGGAGCAAACAGGAUUAGAUACCCCCGUAGUC
rnacentral:rRNA from 1 species